CUUGGCUAUAAUAAGAGGUCCAGCCUGCCCAGUGAAUUUUAAACGGCCGCGGUAUCCUAACCGCGCGAAGGUAGCAUAAUCACUUGUUCUUUAAAUGGGGACUCGUAUCAACGGCAUCACGAGGGUUUUACUGUCUCCUCUUUUUGAUCAGUGAAAUUGAUCUUCCCGUGAAGAAGCGGGAAUAUUAAUAUAAGACGAGAAGACCCCAUGGAGCUUCAAACCAAAUAACAACUUAACCACUUAACCCAUAAUAAAUUUAAGCCAUGUUAUAAGGUUUUGGGUUGGGGUGACCGCGGAGUAAAGCACAUCCUCCACGACGGAAAGAACACAAUCUUUAUUUAAGAACUACAAUUCUAGAAAUUAGUAUACUAACGUUUACUGACCCGAUCACAUGAUCAACGGACCA
rnacentral:rRNA from 1 species